rnacentral:rRNA from 1 species
UACGAAGGGAGCUAGCGUUGUUCGGAAUUACUGGGCGUAAAGGGCGCGUAGGCGGCUUUGUAAGUCAGAUGUGAAAUCCCCGGGCUUAACCUGGGAACUGCAUUUGAUACUGCAAGGCUAGAGAUUGAGAGAGGUAAGUGGAAUUAUGAGUGUAGAGGUGAAAUUCGUAGAUAUUCAUAAGAACAUCAGUGGCGAAGGCGGCUUACUGGCUCAAUACUGACGCUAAGGCGCGAAAGCGUGGGGAGCAAACAGG